UGCCCUUGUAGCUUAAUUAUAAAGCACCGGUUUUGUAACCCGGAAANCGAAGGUUAAAAUCCUUCCUAGAG
rnacentral:tRNA from 1 species